rnacentral:rRNA from 1 species
UACGUAGGGUGCAAGCGUUGUCCGGAAUUAUUGGGCGUAAAGAGCUCGUAGGCGGUUUGUUGCGUCGGAUGUGAAAUCCCGAGGCUCAACCUCGGGUCUGCAGUCGAUACGAGCAAACUAGAGUGUUGCAGGGGAGACUGGAAUUCCUGGUGUAGCGGUGAAAUGCGCAGAUAUCAGGAGGAACACCGGUGGCGAAGGCGGGUCUCUGGGCAACAACUGACGCUGAGGAGCGAAAGCGUGGGGAGCGAACAGG